rnacentral:rRNA from 1 species
GACGAACGCUGGCGGCGUGCUUAACACAUGCAAGUCGAGCGGUAAGGCCCUUUCGGGGGUACACGAGCGGCGAACGGGUGAGUAACACGUGGGUGACCUGCCCUCAGCUCUGGGAUAAGCCUGGGAAACCGGGUCUAAUACUGGAUAUGACUCCAUGACGCAUGUUGUGGGGUGGAAAGCCUUGUGCGGCUGAGGAUGGGCCCGCGGCCUAUCAGCUUGUUGGUGGGGUGAUGGCCUACCAAGGCGACGACGGGUAGCCGGCCUGAGAGGGCGACCGGCCACACUGGGACUGAGGCACGGCCCAGACUCCUACGGGAGGCAGCAGUGGGGAAUCUUGCGCAAUGGGCGCAAGCCUGAUCCAGCCACGCCGCGUGAGUGAUGAAGGCCU